UCCUACGGGACGCAGCAGUGAGGAAUAUUGGUCAAUGGGCGGAAGCCUGAACCAGCCAAGUCGCGUGAGGGAAUAAGGCCCUACGGGUCGUAAACCUCUUUUGCCGGGGAGCAAGGGCGGGGACGUGUUCCGGCCCGGAGAGUACCCGGAGAAAAAGCAUCGGCUAACUCCGUGCCAGCAGCCGCGGUAAUACGGAGGAUGCGAGCGUUAUCCGGAUUUAUUGGGUUUAAAGGGUGGGUAGGCGGGCUUUUAAGUCAGCGGAAAAAAUUCGGUGCUCAACCCCGUCCAGUCGAUGAAACUGGGGG
rnacentral:rRNA from 1 species